UUCUGGUAGGGAUCAGUCGAUAUGACGUUUGGCUUGGGUCCGCUCAAUAUAAAACGACCCAAGCCAAACGUCAAAUCGACUGUUCCCUACCAGAAAGUG
rnacentral:pre_miRNA from 1 species